UGCCUCAGUAACGGCGAGUGAAGCGGCAAGAGCUCAACUUUGGAAUCGCUCCGGCGAGUUGUAGUCUGGAGGUGGCCACCACGAGGUGUUCUAGCAGCAGGCAAGUCCUUUGGAACAAGGCGCCAGCGAGGGUGACAGCCCCGUACCUGCUUUUGCUAGUGCUUCCUGUGGCCCACCGACGAGUCGAGUUGUUUGGGAAUGCAGCUCUAAGUGGGUGGUAAAUUCCAUCUAAGGCUAAAUAUUGGCGAGAGACCGAUAGCGAACAAGUACAGUGAUGGAAAGAUGAAAAGCACUUUGAAAAGAGAGUGAAACAGUACGUGAAAUUGUUGAAAGGGAAGGGCUUGCACCCAGACACGGUUUCGGCCGGGCCAGCAUCAAGUAGAACGGGGUUAAAAGACCUGGGGAAUGUAGCUACCUCUUGGUAGUGUUAUAGCCCUUGGGUGAUGACCCCUGUUUUGCUUGAGGACAGCGGUCUCUAGGAUGCUGGCGCAAUGGUUGCAAGCCACCCGUCUUGAA
rnacentral:rRNA from 1 species